UACGAAGGGGGCUAGCGUUGCUCGGAAUCACUGGGCGUAAAGGGUGCGUAGGCGGGUCUUUAAGUCAGAGGUGAAAUCCUGGAGCUCAACUCCAGAACUGCCUUUGAUACUGGCGAUCUUGGGUCCGGGAGAGGUGAGUGGAACUCCGAGUGUAGAGGUGAAAUUCGUAGAUAUUCGGAAGAACACCAGUGGCGAAGGCGGCUCACUGGCCCGGUACUGACGCUGAUCGUGC
rnacentral:rRNA from 1 species